rnacentral:rRNA from 1 species
AUCAGUGGCUACAGGAGACGAACGCUGGCGGCAGGCCUAAAACAUGCAAGUCGAACGGAUCCUUCGGGAUUAGUGGCGGACGGGUGAGUAACACGUGGGAACGUGCCUUUUGGUUCGGAACAACUCAGGGAAACUUGAGCUAAUACCGAAUGUGCCCUUCGGGGGAAAGAUUUAUCGCCAUUAGAGCGGCCCGCGUCUGAUUAGCUUGUUGGUGAGGUAAAGGCUCACCAAGGCGACGAUCAGUAGCUGGUCUGAGAGGAUGAUCAGCCACACUGGGACUGAGACACGGCCCAGACUCCUACGGGAGGCAGCAGUUAGGAAUCUUGCGCAAUGGGGGAAACCCUGACGCAGCCAUGCCGCGUGAAUGAUGAAGGUCUUAGGAUUGUAAAAUUCUUUCAGCGGGGACGAUAAUGACGGUACCCGCAGAAGAAGCCCCGGCUAACUUCGUG